CUGAGGCACAGGAUCAGUCACUAUGACUUGUCCAAGGUCAUAAAGGAAGUGUCUGGCUGAGGCCGGAAUUGAUGAUAGGGCAAUGGACUUGGACUCAGAAGACCUUAUCCCCUCAGACAUCCUUCCUGUCUGCAACUGAAAACAUUUAAGAGCAAACACGAUGUAAUAUCCGACUCAGGCAGGGUAAUGAACUCGUGCUGACAUCCCAAUCUUGUGGACACGUCUGCCCUUCUGCAGCUCUCUCAUCUGCAGAAUUAAGCCCCUGGAUGGAUUCGUCUUGUAUUUAUUAAUGCCCAGCUAGGACUGAGAGAAUUUUGGCCUCUCGAUUAUGUUGAUAAGAUGGAAUCUCUGGAAUCAGAAUGAUGGAGGAUGCUAAAAUAAAGCCACAUCUGAAUCAGCCCAAUUCAGCAGAGCAACGGCCCAUCUCAUCUGACAUCUGAUCUCGCUGUCACCUGAGACUUAUGAUGGCUGCUUCAGAGUCAAGUGCAAAACUCCCAGAAUGCUCGGACUUGUACCAAACAUAACGUUAGUCACACACCCUUGGGAUAGAAACAUGCAGAGAAAACAAUGAAACAAGACUGUUUAUAAAGCCGUCAACACAUUAGCCAGUGGAGAGGAGCCCAAGUUUCCAUGUAAAGUCCUGAAUGGACGCAAGUGACAUGAGACACAUGGAAAAUGUGGAGCAAGGAAUAAAAUUAUAAAUAAAACAAAUACAAUAAAUUGGGAA